AGUCCCGGGAUCCGGCUCAGCGCCAGGCAGGGCUAAGGGCCACCCGAGCGGAUUCGGCCCCGCGGUCAGGGCCAAGCUGGGCUCCGGCGCUGCUGCUCCCGCGGCGCCGACUGGAGCUCCAGAGCCCCUCCCGUCUCUACCUGCUCGAGCUCCCGAAGUCGCCGCGCCUUAACGCGCCGUGUCGGGGCCGCAGGCGCCACUAGGGAAGCCCAGCUCCCCGCUGGAAGGACGCUCCGGACACUGCGAAUGAAUGACGACAACGCGGCUCACUUGGAGCGGGUCCGGGUUUGUGCGGACUCGGUACCACCGCGGGCUCCGCGCGCCGAGCUGAGCAGCUGUGGCUGGCUUCGGGGGAACCUUCGGGGGAAGCUCCUGGGGACCGUGUGCCAAGCACUGGGCCCGACGCCCAUCCCAGCAGGGAGGACGCCGCCAGCCUGCGUGGGUGCGUGUGUGCUGUUUGUGUUUAAGGUUGACGCUCUAUGGGAUAGCGCCACCCCUUUUCCCAGGAAAAGUGUUUCAAGGUUCCAGACCUGGAGCUCGGUUAGAGACCCGGGGUCGGAAGCCAACGCAGCCAAUGGUCGUCGAUGUUUUUGUUUCCUGCAUCCCCAGGGCAAGUCAUGCGCUAAACUUGUCACCGCUUGUGACCCCUCCCCCCUCUCCAUUCCAUUGUAAUUAAAGUGGCCUAGCUAAGUGCAUUACAUCACUUCUUUCCUUGACCUGUAGGGCGUGAGCAAUAGAGAAGUUGGAAGCGGCCCAAAAGCUUAGACCAACUAAUUCACACCACAGCUGUUCCUAUAUCGCAUUUGGGGCUUCGAAAACUGGGCAUGGCAGAAUUUUAAAAUUUAUCCACUCUUGGUAGAUGGAUUUUUUUUUUAAUCAGUGAAACCAGAAACACACAAACCAGGGCAGCUUUAUCCCUAGACAGUUUCAGUUUCCCCAAAUACUUCGAGCUUCCAGUGGUGAUCACAGCCCAUCUGCCUACAUAUCUGAUGACCAUUUUUUUUUCCUCCCGCCCAGGAGAUCUGGAGGAUAGUUCAGCCAAAAAAAAAAAAAAAAAAAAAAAAAAAAAAGUUCCUCUUCCCAAAUGAUGGGAAUUUAGCAGACUCUGCUUUGUUGUGGAUGCUGGGCAAUCCUAGGGACUUUUCCCUUUCCAAAUGAGCAGAGAUUCAAAUGAAACCUUCUUGUGUGGGCUUCAAAAUUGUGACUUUUGUAGCUCCGACUUGAAUUGUUGAAUUCCUUCAAUUAGUCGAAUGAGCAAAUCACCAGCCAUUCUAAUGAGACUGCCAUUUCAUCUGUUCGCUUCCUACCGCUUGGGCUCUCAAGGAAUGGAAGUUUCCCUUGAUGUUACCACACAGACUGAUCUGCUUCUUCCAGGCAUCAGUGGAAACCUCAUGUAUUUAACACAGACUCAAAAAACUCAUUUGGCACUUUUGGUCACAGUGCAGUGCCUUCAGUCACAAAAUCUGCAAAUAAAAAGCAAACAAUAAGA
rnacentral:lncRNA from 1 species